UAUAGUGAAGCACAGCUUAAAAGUAAGUCUUUUUACACUCCAUUUCGAAGCGUUAACGUUAGUACCUCCGUCCUGUAGUUUUAAAUAUCAUUUAUUUUUUGUGCUAUUCCGUCUGACUUUGAUGAUAGUCAGCAAUUUAAUUUUUUAUUUACAGGAUAGAUAUUAUGUCUAACACAGUUACUGGUACCGUUAAGUGGUUCAACGAGUCUAAAGGUUUUGGUUUUAUCGCUCAAGAAAAUGGCGCUGACGUAUUCGCUCAUUUCAGCGCAAUCAAAGGUGACGGCUUCAAAACUCUAGCUGAAGGCCAACGCGUAGAAUUCACUCUAGCUCAAGGCCAAAAAGGUCCUCAAGCUGAGAACAUCGUUGCACUUUAAUUUUUAAUAAUUAAGUGAAACAAAAAAAGGUAGCCAGUGGCUACCUUUUUUAA
rnacentral:sRNA from 1 species